GAAACCAAAUAUUGAAAUGCAAUAAACAGAUAUUUCCUGUCUAUGCAAGAUAAAGGAAGGAGAGAGUCGAUUCUUUCAAGAAAGGAAUGGAUCUGUAUCAAAGGAAACAAGGAAAAUGGAAGUUAUACUAUAGACAGGCUGUCAGGCUGUAUUUAAACAAAAGACCUCCUGGGAUGAGGAGAAAAUGAAACAAGUAGAACCUGUAUUUC